AGAGUAACGGAAAUCAUCAGAGCAAUUCCAGUCUGCUGGUGGUAGAGUCGGGGAUCUACAGGCUGGUAGACACGACAUCUGACCGGGGCAUAUCUACAAGGUAGGAGUACUCUACUGUGCCCUGCAUCCAUGGAAGAAGCAUCUGCUAUUGGCAUGAGGCAUCAAUCAAGCAACUCAAGAGUCUCCUUGAACAGAGAAUCCCAUAAUAGAUUUUCUGAUCCACCAGAGUUCAAUGGAAAUAGGACCCACACUGUUUCUCAAGCUGCUCGUUUUGAAUGUUCCAGACAUAAGGGCCCAGCUGGAGUUUCACCAGCUGCAGUCACUACACGCAGGGCACAAAGGAAGCCUCCUGCUGUCUGCAUGUUCUGGGUGAUGGCUCAGCCUCAUACAUCCACUGCCCCCUGAACUUGGCCGCUCUGUGUCCUCAUACUCCCUGAUGUUCAGGAGCAGCUUGCUCAGUUCCUCAGGAAGAGCAAUGUAACAAUACAAAUACACUGAUUUAAUGCUUUUAAGCAGCAUUAUUGAUUGUAACUGCUCCAAAUGAAUAAAAUAUUCUGUAAU
rnacentral:lncRNA from 7 species